GACGAACGCUGGCGGCGUGCUUAACACAUGCAAGUCGAACGGAAAGGCCUGCUUUCCCUUGUGGAUUGCGGGUACUCGAGUGGCGAACGGGUGAGUAACACGUGAGUGAUCUGCCCCCAACUUGGGUAUAAGCCUGGGAAACUGGGUCUAAUUCCCGAUAGGACUGCAGGGUGGUGCCUGUGGUGGAAAACGAUCUUCUAGUGGUUGGGGAUGAGCUCGCGGCCUAUCAGCUUGUUGGUGGGGUAAUGGCCUACCAAGGCGGCGACGGGUAGCCGGCCUGGGAGGGUGGACAGGCGCAUUGGGACUGGGAUACGGCCCAGACUCCUGCGGGAGGCAGCAGUGGGGACUAUUGCGCAAUGAGCGGAAGCCUGAUGCAGCGACGCAGCGUGGGGGAUGGCGGCCUUCGGGUUGUAAGCUCCUUUCGACCGCGAGGAAGCCACCUGGUUGGAAGGGUGGUGACGGUAGUGGUAGAAGAAGCACCGGCUAACUACGUG
rnacentral:rRNA from 1 species